GGACGAAAAUUUACCAGAAGGGCCGAAAUCGCGCAAAUCGACUGAGAAGCUCGAGGUGGCUUGAUCUAAGGGAUCAGGACGUGGUCUCAACGAUUAAACCUGCUGAAUGUCAACACAAGAAGGAGGUGUAGACGUGCAUGAAGCAGUUCCAUGCAGCUCGACACACAAAGCACGAGGUGUCGCAGUACCUGCGAUCUGGGCAUGCGAACCGACAUGCAGAGGCCCAU
rnacentral:lncRNA from 1 species